AAUCCAUAGGUUAAUGAGGCGAACCGGGGGAACUGAAACAUCUAAGUACCCCGAGGAAAAGAAAUCAACCGAGAUUCCCCCAGUAGCGGCGAGCGAACGGGGAGGAGCCCAGAGCCUGAAUCAGCAUGUGUGUUAGUGGAAGCGUCUGGAAAGGCGCGCGAUACAGGGUGACAGCCCCGUACACAAAAGCGCAUGUGCUGUGAGCUCGAUGAGUAGGGCGGGACACGUGGUAUCCUGUCUGAAUAUGGGGGGACCAUCCUCCAAGGCUAAAUACUCCUGACUGACCGAUAGUGAACCAGUACCGUGAGGGAAAGGCGAAAAGAACCCCGGCGAGGGGAGUGAAAAAGAACCUGAAACCGUGUACGUACAAGCAGUGGGAGCACCCUUUGGGGUG
rnacentral:rRNA from 1 species